UACGAAGGGUGCAAACGUUGCUCGGAAUUAUUGGGCGUAAAGCGCACGUAGGCGGCUUUGCAAGUCGGAUGUGAAAUCCCUCGGCUUAACCAAGGAAGUGCAUCCGAAACUGCAGAGCUUGAGUACUUAAGAGGAUCGCGGAAUUCCCGGUGUAGAGGUGAAAUUCGUAGAUAUCGGGAGGAACACCUGUGGCGAAAGCGGCGCACUGGACCAUAACUGACGCUGAGGCGCGAAAGCUAGGGGAGCAAACAGG
rnacentral:rRNA from 1 species